GCUGGCGGCGUGCUUAACACAUGCAAGUCGAACGAUGAAGCCCAGCUUGCUGGGUGGAUUAGUGGCGAACGGGUGAGUAACACGUGAGUAACCUGCCCCUGACUCUGGGAUAAGCGUUGGAAACGACGUCUAAUACUGGAUAUGAUCACUGGCCGCAUGGUCUGGUGGUGGAAAGAUUUUUUGGUUGGGGAUGGACUCGCGGCCUAUCAGCUUGUUGGUGAGGUAAUGGCUCACCAAGGCGACGACGGGUAGCCGGCCUGAGAGGGUGACCGGCCACACUGGGACUGAGACACGGCCCAGACUCCUACGGGAGGCAGCAGUGGGGAAUAUUGCACAAUGGGCGAAAGCCUGAUGCAGCAACGCCGCGUGAGGGAUGACGGCCUUCGGGUUGUAAACCUCUUUUAGUAGGGAAGAAGCGAAGGUGACGGUACCUGCAGAAAAAGCACCGGCUAACUACGUGCCAGCAGCCGCGGUAAUACGUAGGGUGCAAGCGUUGUCCGGAAUUAUUGGGCGUAAAGAGCUCGUAGGCGGUUUGUCGCGUCUGCUGUGAAAUCCCGAGGCUCAACCUCGGGCUUGCAGUGGGUACGGGCAGACUAGAGUGCGGUAGGGGAGAUUGGAAUUCCUGGUGUAGCGGUGGAAUGCGCAGAUAUCAGGAGGAACACCGAUGGCGAAGGCAGAUCUCUGGGCCGUAACUGACGCUGAGGAGCGAAAGCAUGGGGAGCGAACAGGAUUAGAUACCCUGGUAGUCCAUGCCGUAAACGUUGGGCGCUAGAUGUAGGGACCUUUCCACGGUUUCUGUGUCGUAGCUAACGCAUUAAGCGCCCCGCCUGGGGAGUACGGCCGCAAGGCUAAAACUCAAAGGAAUUGACGGGGGCCCGCACAAGCGGCGGAGCAUGCGGAUUAAUUCGAUGCAACGCGAAGAACCUUACCAAGGCUUGACAUACACCGGAAACGGCCAGAGAUGGUCGCCCCCUUGUGGUCGGUGUACAGGUGGUGCAUGGUUGUCGUCAGCUCGUGUCGUGAGAUGUUGGGUUAAGUCCCGCAACGAGCGCAACCCUCGUUCUAUGUUGCCAGCGGGUUAUGCCGGGAACUCAUAGGAGACUGCCGGG
rnacentral:rRNA from 1 species